GAUGAACGCUGACAGCAUGCUUAACACAUCAGCAAUUGAUUGGUGGCGGACGGGUGAGUAACGCGUAAAGAACUUGCCUCACAUGUCGGGACAACAUUUGGAAACGAAUGCUAAUACCUAAUACUGUGAGAGAGCUUUGCGUCCCAUUAGCUAGUUGGAGAGGUAACGUCUCACCAAGGCGAUGAUGGGUAGCCGGCCUGAGAGGGUGAUCGGGCACAAGGUGAUUGAGGCACGGCCCUUACGCCUACGGGGGGCAGCAGUGGUGAAUAUAGGAAAAUGGACCACAGUCUGAAGCAGCAAUUCUGUGUGCAAGACGAAGUUUUCGGAAUGAAAAGUGCUUUCAGUUAGGAAGCGGUACCAACAGAAGAAGUGACGGCUAAAUACGUGCCAGCAGCCGCGGUAAUUC
rnacentral:rRNA from 1 species